rnacentral:tRNA from 1 species
GGGGAGAUGCCCGAGUGGCCAAUGGGAGCAGACUGUAAAUCUGCCGGCGGAUGCCUACGUAGGUUCGAAUCCUACUCUCCCCACCA